rnacentral:rRNA from 1 species
GUCCACGCCCUAAACGAUGUCAACUAGGUGUUGGGUGGGUAAACCAUUUAGUACCGGAGCUAACGCGUGAAGUUGACCGCCUGGGGAGUACGGCCGCAAGGUUAAACUCAAAGGAAUUGACGGGACCCGCACAAGCGGUGGAUGAUGUGGAUUAAUUCGAUGCAACGCGAAAACCUUACCUACCCUUGACAUGUCAGGAACUUGCCAGAGAUGGCUUGGUGCUCGAAAGAGAACCUGAACACAGGUGCUGCAUGGCUGUCGU